rnacentral:rRNA from 1 species
AGAGUUUGAUCCUGGCUCAGGACGAACGCUGGCGGCGCGCCUAACACAUGCAAGUCGAACGAGCGAGAGAGAGCUUGCUUUCUCGAGCGAGUGGCGAACGGGUGAGUAACGCGUGAGGAACCUGCCUCAAAGAGGGGGACAACAGUUGGAAACGACUGCUAAUACCGCAUAAGCCCACGGCUCGGCAUCGAGCAGAGGGAAAAGGAGCAAUCCGCUUUGAGAUGGCCUCGCGUCCGAUUAGCUAGUUGGUGAGGUAACGGCCCACCAAGGCGACGAUCGGUAGCCGGACUGAGAGGUUGAACGGCCACAUUGGGACUGAGACACGGCCCAGACUCCUACGGGAGGCAGCAGUGGGGAAUAUUGCACAAUGGGGGAAACCCUGAUGCAGCGACGCCGCGUGGAGGAAGAAGGUCUUCGGAUUGUAAACUCCUGUUGUUGAGGAAGAUAAUGACGGUACUCAACAAGGAAGUGACGGCUAACUACGUGCCAGCAGCCGCGGUAAAACGUAGGUCACAAGCGUUGUCCGGAAUUACUGGGUGUAAAGGGAGCGCAGGCGGGAAGACAAGUUGGAAGUGAAAUCCAUGGGCUCAACCCAUGAACUGCUUUCAAAACUGUUUUUCUUGAGUAGUGCAGAGGUAGGCGGAAUUCCCGGUGUAGCGGUGGAAUGCGUAGAUAUCGGGAGGAACACCAGUGGCGAAGGCGGCCUACUGGGCACCAACUGACGCUGAGGCUCGAAAGUGUGGGUAGCAAACAGGAUUAGAUACCCUGGUAGUCCACACCGUAAACGAUGAUUACUAGGUGUUGGAGGAUUGACCCCUUCAGUGCCGCAGUUAACACAAUAAGUAAUCCACCUGGGGAGUACGACCGCAAGGUUGAAACUCAAAGGAAUUGACGGGGGCCCGCACAAGCAGUGGAGUAUGUGGUUUAAUUCGAAGCAACGCGAAGAACCUUACCAGGUCUUGACAUCCAACUAACGAAGUAGAGAUACAUUAGGUGCCCUUCGGGGAAAGUUGAGACAGGUGGUGCAUGGUUGUCGUCAGCU